CAGUCGCCACGGUAAUACGAGGGGGGCAAGCGUUGUUCGGAAUUAUUGGGCGUAAAGGGUGCGUAGGCGGUUCAGCAAGUCUCGUGUGAAAUCUUCGGGCUCAACCCGAAGUCUGUACGGGAAACUACUGGGCUUGAGUAAUGGAGAGGUGAGUGGAAUUUCCGGUGUAGCGGUGAAAUGCGUAGAUAUCGGAAGGAACACCUGUGGCGAAAGCGGCUCACUGGACAUUUACUGACGCUGAUGCACGAAAGCUAGGGGAGCAAACAGGAUUAGAUACCCGUGUAGUCCCUGUCUCUUAUAU
rnacentral:rRNA from 1 species